CAGAGAAACCGUGUCAAUACACGGGAGUAAUCUACCAGAGUGGACAGACAUUUAAAGAUGACUGUAACGAUUGCAAAUGCUGGGAUGGAGCGGUUGAAUGUACAAAACGAGACUGCCCAAAGAAACCGUGUCAAUACAAGGGAGUUACCUACCAGAGUGGACAGACAUUCAAGGAUGACUGUAACGAUUGUAAAUGUUGGGAUGGAGAUGUAGAAUGUACAAAACGAGAUUGCCCAAAAAAACCUUGUCAAUACAAGGGAACUACCUACCAAAGCGGACAGACAUUCAAGGAUGACUGUAACGAAUGCAAAUGUUGGGAUGGAGCUGUUGAAUGUACACAACGAGAGUGUCCAAAAAAACCGUGUCAAUACAAGGGAGUAACGUACCCGAGUGGACAGACAUUCAAGGAUGACUGUAACGACUGUAAAUGUUGGGAUGGAGCUGUUACAUGUACAGACAGAGAUU